rnacentral:rRNA from 1 species
UACGGAGGGGGCUAGCGUUGUUCGGAAUUACUGGGCGUAAAGCGCACGUAGGCGGCUUGGUAAGUUAGAGGUGAAAGCCCGGAGCUCAACUCCGGAAUUGCCUUUAAGACUGCCGAGCUAGCAGGUGAGAGAGGUGAGUGGAAUUCCGAGUGUAGAGGUGAAAUUCGUAGAUAUUCGGAAGAAACACCAGUGGCGAAGGCGGCUCACUGGCUCAUACUGGACGCUGAGGUGCGAAAGCGUGGGGAGCAAACAGG